UGGGGAAUAUUGCACAAUGGGCGCAAGCCUGAUGCAGCCAUGCCGCGUGUGUGAAGAAGGCCUUCGGGUUGUAAGCACUUUCAGCGAGGAGGAAGGUGGUGAACUUAAUACGUUCAUCAAUUGACGUUACUCGCAGAAGAAGCACCGGCUAACUCCGUGCCAGCAGCCGCGGUAAUACGGAGGGUGCAAGCGUUAAUCGGAAUUACUGGGCGUAAAGCGCACGCAGGCGGUUUGUUAAGUCAGAUGUGAAAUCCCCGGGCUCAACCUGGGAACUGCAUUUGAAACUGGCAAGCUAGGAGUCUCGUAGAGGGGGGUAGAAUUCCAGGUGUAGCGGUGAAAUGCGUAGAGAUCUGGAGGAAUACCGGUGGCGAAGGCGGCCCCCUGGACGAAGACUGACGCUCAGGUGCGAAAGCGUGGGGAGCAAAACAGGAUUAGAUACCCUGGUAGUCCA
rnacentral:rRNA from 1 species